ensembl:lncRNA
GAGUCCUCUAUGAAGAGCAGCCUUUCUGUAUUGCCAGCGGUCGCGGCUGCUACGGCGCGCUGGCGGGUCCGUUUCCCUGGGCCGUGAAAGUGCAAGGCGGCAGGCAGCGAUGCGCUCUGUCGCCAAAACGCUGAUGGUAGAAACAGAUGCUCUUUCCGCGGCGCCGGCGUGUAGCAAUCCCUGCCGUCAGCAAGGGGGCGGAUGCUCCGGGGGAGGCAGGUGGAGGCGUGGAAGGUGCCGCCGGCGUGUCCGUAGCCAGGGCGUGAACGUCGAAAGCCUCCACGUGUACAAACCAUGACGGGGGGUCAUGGAGCCAAAAGUCCGGCAGUUUCAGCGCCACAGCGAACGUAGCUGUAACAGGAGGCGGAGGUCCGGCGGCCGCUGAUGUAUCCAUAGCGGAGUCUGUGUUAUCUGCGGCCCGUUGCAUGCUCGAGUCAGGGGUCACCAAUGUGGAGGUAAGCAUCAACGACACAGAGCUCUCAGUUUUCACUCCUUCUUUAUUCGUCUCCAACAUCAACUGCGCAUAUCGCGCCACAAAACACAGGAACACACUUCCUAUACACUGGGUGUGAGUGGAGCCCUCUAGUGGUCCGCCACUAUAUAUAUAUAUAAAAAAAAAAAAAAACACCCAGCACGCCCCUGCGGGCGGUUUAUCCUUCAAGCUCGGGUCCUCUACCAGAGGCCUGGGAGCUUGAGGGUCCUGCGCAGUAUCUUAGCUGUUCCCAGGACUGCGCUCUUCUGGACAGAGAUCUCUGAUGUUAUUCCCGGGAUCUGCUGGAGCCACUCGCCUAGCUUGGGAGUCACCGCACCUAGUGCUCCGAUUACCACGGGGACCACCGUUACCUUCACCCUCCACAUCCUCUCGAGCUCUUCUCUGAGCCCUUGGUAUUUCUCCAGCUUCUCGUGUUCCUUCUUCCUGAUAUUGCUGUCAUUCGGAACCGCUACAUCGAUCACUACGGCCGUCUUCUUCUGUUUGUCUACCACCACUAUGUCCGGUUGGUUAGCCACCACCAUUUUGUCCGUCUGUAUCUGGAAGUCCCACAGGAUCUUAGCUCGGUCAUUCUCCACCACCCUUAGGUGCAUCUCCCAU